UAAAAAUAGUAAGUCUCAAACAUCAACACUCAACGGCCAUAGUUUAAGAGUCUCUAACAUGAACAGCCACCGGGACAGCAACAAUACAACACAAAAUAACACACGAGUUUUAAGAUAGUCUACAUCAAUAGCCACCGAAGGGGACAACAUUACAACAUAGCACAAUCAAAUUAUUCAGAAUCACUCACUGGUAAAUGCAUUUCAUCAUCUUCCGAUUCAGAAGAAGACUCAGCUGAUUGCAACUCAUCAUCACGAUAAAUAGGAAGCAACUUUUUCUUCUUCCUAGGAC
rnacentral:lncRNA from 1 species